rnacentral:rRNA from 1 species
AGCAGCCGCGGUAAUUCCAGCUCCAAUAGCGUAUAUUAAAGUUGUUGCAGUUAAAAAGCUCGUAGUUGAAUUUCGAGAUCGGUUUAUUGGUCGUGCUAUUGUACGUACUGGUAUUACCGGUUUCUCCUUUCUGACGAACCUUAAUGCCAUUAAUUUGGUGUUUUGGGAAAUCAGGACUGUUACUUUGAAAAAAUUAGAGUGUUUAAAGCAGGCUCACGCUUGAAUACAUUAGCAUGGAAUAACGGAAUAGGACGUUUGAUUCUAUUUUGUUGGUUUCUAGGAUCGACGUAAUGAUUAAUAGGGAUAGUUGGGGGCAUUAGUAUUCAAUUGUCAGAGGUGAAAUUCUUGGAUUUAUUGAAGACUAACUACUGCGAAAGCAUUUGCCAAGGAUGUUUUCAUUAAUCAAGAACGAAAGUUAGGGGAUCGAAGACGAUCAGAUACCGUCGUAGUCUUAGCCAUAAACUAUGCCGACUAGGGAUCGGAUGAUGUUAAUUUUUAAUGACUCAUUCGGCGCCUUACG